rnacentral:lncRNA from 1 species
AUGAUCCUAAUCACCAAAAAAAAAGAAAACUCUAACUCCUUUCCUAUAAAAAGGGUAGCUGUCAAAGCAGAAUCAUCAUCUCUCUUUUUCCAAUGCUGCACACAGUAGCUUCUACUACGUCUGCAAUUUUUUCUUCAUCUUUCUUCUUUCAUAUACCUUCGAAGAACUCAUUUGUGUUAAAAAGCCCACCAAGAGUGACUAAUUUAUUUUCCUU